rnacentral:rRNA from 1 species
AGCGGCAGCUACCAUGCAGUCGACGGAUCCUUCGGGAUUAGUGGCAGACGGGUGAGUAACGCGUGGGAAGCUACCUUGUGGUAGGGAACAACAGUUGGAAACGACUGCUAAUACCCUAUGAGCCCUAUGGGGGAAAGAUUUAUCGCCAUGAGAUGUGCCCGCGUUAGAUUAGCUAGUUGGUAAGGUAAUGGCUUACCAAGGCGACGAUCUAUAGCUGGUCUGAGAGGAUGAUCAGCCACACUGGGACUGAGACACGGCCCAGACUCCUACGGGAGGCAGCAGUGGGGAAUAUUGGACAAUGGGGGCAACCCUGAUCCAGCUAUGCCGCUUGUGUGAUGACGGCCUUAGGGCUAAAAAACACUUUCAGCAGUGAAGAUAAUGACGUUAACUGCAAAAAAACCCCGGUUAUCUUCCUGCCCCCCCCCCCUGUACGA